GACGAACGCUGGCGGCGUGCUUAACACAUGCAAGUCGAACGGAAAGGCCUGCUUUCCCUUGUGGAUUGCGGGUACUCGAGUGGCGAACGGGUGAGUAACACGUGAGUGAUCUGCCCCCAACUUGGGUAUAAGCCUGGGAAACUGGGUCUAAUUCCCGAUAGGACUGCAGGGUGGUGCCUGUGGUGGAAAACGAUUUUCUAGUGGUUGGGGAUGAGCUCGCGGCCUAUCAGCUUGUUGGUGGGGUAAUGGCCUACCAAGGCGGCGACGGGUAGCCGGCCUGGGAGGGUGGACGGCCACAUUGGGACUGAGAUACGGCCCAGACUCCUACGGGAGGCAGCAGUGGGGAAUAGGGCACAAUGGGCGGAAGCCUGAUGCAGCGACGCCGCGUGGGGGAUGACGGGCUUCGGGUUGUAAACUCCUUUCGACCGCGAGGAAGCCACCUGGUUGGAAGGGUGGUGACGGUAGUGGUAGAAGAAGCACCGGCUAACUACGUG
rnacentral:rRNA from 1 species